AUGAACGCUGGCGGCGUGCCUAAUACAUGCAAGUCGAGCGAACAGACGAGGAGCUUGCUCCUCUGACGUUAGCGGCGGACGGGUGAGUAACACGUGGAUAACCUACCUAUAAGACUGGGAUAACUUCGGGAAACCGGAGCUAAUACCGGAUAAUAUAUUGAACCGCAUGGUUCAAUAGUGAAAGACGGUUUUGCUAUCACUUAUAGAUGGAUCCGCGCCGCAUUAGCUAGUUGGUAAGGUAACGGCUUACCAAGGCAACGAUGCGUAGCCGACCUGAGAGGGUGAUCGGCCACACUGGAACUGAGACACGGUCCAGACUCCUACGGGAGGCAGCAGUAGGGAAUCUUCCGCAAUGGGCGAAAGCCUGACGGAGCAACGCCGCGUGAGUGAUGAAGGUCUUCGGAUCGUAAAACUCUGUUAUUAGGGAAGAACAAAUGUGUAAGUAACUAUGCACGUCUUGACGGUACCUAAUCAGAAAGCCACGGCUAACUACGUG
rnacentral:rRNA from 1 species